UGGGGAAUAUUGGACAAUGGGCGAAAGCCUGAUCCAGCCAUGCCGCGUGUGUGAAGAAGGUCUUCGGAUUGUAAAGCACUUUAAGUUGGGAGGAAGGGCAUUAACCUAAUACGUUAGUGUUUUGACGUUACCGACAGAAUAAGCACCGGCUAACUCUGUGCCAGCAGCCGCGGUAAUACCGAGGGUGCAAGCGUUAAUCGGAAUUACUGGGCGUAAAGCGCGCGGAGGUGGUUUGUUAAGUUGGAUUUGAAAUCCCCGGGCUCAACCUGGGAACUGCAUUCAAAACUGACUGACUAGAGUAUGGUAGAGGGUGGUGGAAUUUCCUGUGUAGCGGUGAAAUGCGUAGAUAUAGGAAGGAACACCAGUGGCGAAGGCGACCACCUGGACCAAUACUGACACUGAGGUGCGAAAGCGUGGGGAGCAAACA
rnacentral:rRNA from 1 species